ACGGGAGGCAGCAGUGGGGAAUCUUCCGCAAUGGGCGAAAGCCUGACGGAGCAACGCCGCGUGAGUGAUGACGGCCUUCGGGUUGUAAAACUCUGUGAUCCGGGACGAAAAGGCAGAGUGCGAAGAACAAACUGCAUUGACGGUACCGGAAAAGCAAGCCACGGCUAACUACGUGCCAGCAGCCGCGGUAAUACGUAGGUGGCAAGCGUUGUCCGGAAUUAUUGGGCGUAAAGCGCGCGCAGGCGGCUUCCCAAGUCCCUCUUAAAAGUGCGGGGCUUAACCCCGUGAUGGGAAGGAAACUGGGAAGCUGGAGUAUCGGAGAGGAAAGUGGAGUUCCUAGUGUAGCGGUGAAAUGCGUAGAGAUUAGGAAGAACACCGGUGGCGAAGGCGACUUUCUGGACGAAAACUGACGCUGAGGCGCGAAAGCGUGGGGAGCAAACAGGAUUAGAUACCCUGGUA
rnacentral:rRNA from 1 species